CAGCGGUUGCUUCCAGCUCAGCAUCCACAGAGGAGCCAUCGGAUGCUGAUUUGCUUGCUGCAGCUUCACACAUAGAUGUUGCGGCUUUCAGAUGAUGGUUUUGGAAACCGUAAGCUGAUGGGAGCCAGUCGGUGAGUCAGCCAGAAGCCCUGCCCACCUCUGAGAGAGCUGCGCCAAAAAAACAGCCAGCAGCCACUGAAGAAGUAAGAAAAAUCCUCUUCUGAACCUCCUGCUACACCUCCUGGUCCAAAGGUGCCAAGGACCACAGCUUGGCGGCGGAGGAAGGCAGCGGAGGCCGCUGCAGCACAAGGUGCUACUCCAAAAAAAAGAAACCAGACUGAACAAUACAUUUUCCAAAAGUGUGGCCAACCUAAGACAAAAGAGUUUGGCCACAGUCGGUUCGGAGGUGCCCACUUUUGUGCCAAGUCAUCUGGCAAAACUGUGGAGCAGUGGAUGGAGGAGAUGAGAAGGGGACAAAAAUAAGUCAUAUUGCAUAUGUAUAUACAUUUACAUAGUUAAAGAGUUUUAUAGUUUCUGUGUUUAUAUUGUGUUGGUUCUUUAUAUAUUUAUUUUUAAUAAAGAU